UUCUUUUAUGCAAUUUUGGAGACAGAGAAGUGCUAGGGUUUUGAAGAUUUUCUACUUGAAGGUGUUUUCAAUCCUUGUCUUAAUAGAUAUUUCUAUGAUUUCAAUUAUGAAUAUGCGGAACUAAUUUCUUUUGCUAGGGCAAAGCCUUGAGCCUUAGCAUGAAUAUGUGAUUUUUAUUUAAUUGCUUAUGAUCGAUUGCAUGCGUACUUUGAAU
rnacentral:lncRNA from 1 species